AACAACAAUGAGGUGGUGGAAUUGAGAACCCUAACAAUAGAUAGACAGUCUGACACGGCAUGUGCCUGUAUUGCUGGGACAUCGAGCCUUCCCAAGUCAACCCGGAGGUGGAGUGGAAAUUACAGAAGUAGGGAGCAGGAUAAAGUUCUCAAUUGCCAGAUGUGGAACAGAUUGCUCUUGGGUCUUCUGGUUAAAAGAUUGGAUCAAAACGAGUGAAGGAGGAGUUAUUUAAGGAAGGACCAAGACAACAUCAUCCUUCAGAGGUCACUGAGCGGCAUUAUGUGAACCGUUUGCAGUGGUGGUGUUUACCUUUUUUAUUGACACAAACCAAAAAUGUAAUCAGAAUGUUACCUUUAUAUGUUACAAAAAAGUAUGAUUUUUCUUUCAUUUUAAUUUUUCUAAAGCUUGCAAAUAAACGUAUUCAGAAUAUGCAACACCUAAAGAAAGAGAAGAGGAGACUGAAUAAAAGGUUUUCAAGGCCUUCUCCUAUUCCAGAACCAGGACUCCUACUGGUUUGAGGUUGCAGAGACAACUGAAAUGUUUCACAAAUAGUGGUCAUCUUGAUAAAGCAGGAGUCUAUUUGAAGGAAACCAUGCUCCAGACAGAAAUAUGUGGAUUGUGAACAUCAAGUGACAUAUCAUGAAUUGAUCAUCCACAAAAUAAAUGCAAUACUCCACCAUUUCGGAAAAAUAAACACAGUGCAAGUAUUUAAUAUC
rnacentral:lncRNA from 1 species